rnacentral:rRNA from 2 species
UGCAGUUUUUUUUGUUGUAACUAUGUUGCAACAGGUUAUCUUUAAUAGAACCAAAAGUUCUAUGGAUAGCAAUAGAACUAGAUACUUAUUUUAGAUUCUAUUUUAAUUAGCGAUUUAUUCGCAUUAUGUUCCACGUAGGAUGUAGAUGAUGACUAUUUUUUAUGUGAAAGUCUUGACCAAAACACGUGCCAGCAGUCGCGGGAACACGGCACAGACGAGUGUUAUUCAUCACUAAUAGGUUUAAAGGGUACCUAGACAGUAAAUUUAGCCCCCACUAAGUUGGAACGGUACAUUUUUGCUAGAGUUUUAUGUGAGAGGAAUUUAGUACUAUCAGAGUAGAGAUGAAAUGUUUUGAUACUGUAGGGCACUGAUAACGGCGAAGGCAGACCUUUAUGUAAAAACUGACGUUGAGGGACGAAGGCUUGGGUAACAAACAGGAUUAGGUACCCUAAUAGUCCAGGCAGAGACUGAUGAGUGCCAUAGAUUAGAUUAUAUUUGGUCUAUAAAUGAAAGUGUAAGCAUUCCACCUUAAGAGUAAUGCGGCAACGCCGGAACUGAAAUCAUUAGACCGUUUCUGAAACCAGUAGUGAAGUAUGUUGUUUAAUUCGAUGACCCACGAAAAAUCUUACCACAAUUUGAAUGUUAUAGCAACUAAAGGAAUGUCUUAAUGAUUAUAUCAUUUUGAUGGAAGUGCUAUUAAUACAGGUGUUGCAUGGCUGUCUUCAGUUGGUGUCGUGAGGCGCGGGCAAUAGCCUGUUUAAAACAACGUGAACCCAGAUUUUAUUUUAAUUGGCUUCGCUAAUUACAUAGAGUACAGUAUAUUUAUUCCUAAACACUAACUACAGUGAAGGAAUAAACAUUAGGGACCAAGAGAAGUCCUCAUGGCCCG